rnacentral:misc_RNA from 1 species
GCUCCGUAGGUGAACCUGCGGAGGGAUCAUUACAGAGUUCAUGCCCUACCGGGUAGAUCUCCCACCCUAUGUUAUUAUUACUUUGUUGCUUUGGCGGGCCGUUAGGCUCCGGCCCGACUACCGGCCCCGGCUGGUAAGCGCCCGCCAGAGGACCCAAAACCCUGAAUAUUAGUGUCGUCUGAGUACUAUAUAAUAGUUAAAACUUUCAACAACGGAUCUCUUGGUUCUGGGAUCGAUGAAGAACGCAGC